UACGUAGGUGGCAAGCGUUGUCCGGAUUUACUGGGCGUAAAGAGCGCGCAGGCGGUCAGAUAAGUCGAAUGUGAAAGCCCCCGGCUCAGCUGGGGAGGGUCAUUCGAUACUGUUCGACUCGAAGGCAGGAGAGGGAAGCGGAAUUCCCGGUGUAGUGGUGAAAUGCGUAGAUAUCGGGAGGAACACCAGUGGCGAAGGCGGCUUCCUGGCCUGUUCUUGACGCUGAGGCACGAAAGCCAGGGGAGCAAACGGG
rnacentral:rRNA from 1 species